UACGUAGGGGGCAAGCGUUGUCCGGAUUUAUUGGGCGUAAAGAGCGUGUAGGCGGCCUGAAAGGUCAGCUGUGAAAACUCGAGGCUUAACCUCGAGACGUCGGUUGAAACCAUCUGGCUAGAGUCCGGAAGAGGAGUGUGGAAUUCCCGGUGUAGCGGUGAAAUGCGCAGAUAUCGGGAAGAACACCCGUGGCGAAGGCGGCACUCUGGGACGGUACUGACGCGUGAGACGCGAAAGCGUGGGGAGCGAACAGG
rnacentral:rRNA from 1 species